GCAACAAUCCCUGCACUUUCUUCCACAUGCUGCAUGUUAAGAGGGUCUGUCCACAGUCUGUUCACCAGUUGCAGCCUCCUCUUUUGCUUUCCUUCUGGUGGGAUAUCCCAUUUAAGUUCAAACUAUUGAAUUCAAAGCAACAAAGAUACAAGCAACAAAUUAAUAUAAUAAAAAUACCUUGAUGAAACAGAGACUGCAGGCUCGUCACCCAACAGUGCCGGGCUUGCGUUGCCAAGUUCUGCCAAGUGCUGCUCCAACCAUGUCAACCUUCUAAACUCAACUUCCAUGUAUAUCUGAUCAGCUGGGUCUCCUCUAAACAGCAAAUAGAACUGGGUCCGGUGUACAAUUGAAACAUGGCACAAGUGCCACAACAUGAUGAUUUGCUUUCUUUGAGCUCCAAACAUCAGAGGCCAUGACAUGGGAGAUUGGUCCGCUAUAUCUACUGCCUCAUCAUUUGCAGCCUCAUUUGCCUCCAGCUCCAACACCUAUACCACGUGCAGAUCAAGAUGAAGCAAAUGAGAGAGUAUUUCGUGAUUGUUCGAUGUGGCUUAGAGCAGGACUCAGAGUACAUAUUAUUGCUGUUCGAGCAUUUCCUCCUAGUGAAGACUGCAAUAUUCUCGUCAGUUUUGAAUCUCUGUAAGAAUGCUAACCUCAGUUUUCUGAUCACUGUUGUCAGAGUCAAUAAGCUGCGGUUAAUAUGGCUACCUUCCUUCAUUCUACUUCCAUCUGCAUUUGUUUGAGAUGCCCGCUCACUCCCAGCAAGGUCCACAAGAUUCUGUAAAAUUCCAGAAUGCCAAAUUAUUGGAUAACUACAUUAUUUUUUUGCAAAAAAAUUCCAGAGAAAGCUGAAAUCAGAUCAACAUACCAGACUAGCCAAAAAAGAUUUCACACAGCCCAUAUUUUCCCGCAGGCUACUCUGAAUAGUCUUCAAAAAAUUAAAUAAAGGUUAAUGAAUAAAACACUUCAAUGUACUUGUGGUAAGAGUGAAAUAAGUUCACGAGAACACAAGGAAACCUCAAUGUACUUGUGGUAAGACUGAUCAGUAGAGAUCUUAAUUAUUGGAAGAUCCUAGGUAGUUUAGUUACAAAAAGAGAAUAAAACUAGGAAAGAUAUUCUUCAUCCAAUGCAUGAAAUUGCACAUAAGAAUUUAAGUUAGCAGGUAUCCCUCAGGUUUUACUAAUUUUGCUAUAAUUUGAGGAAAACCAAAACAAGAUGGGAAGACCUCCAAAUGACUUCAGUAAUAAGAGAAAGCCAUAACAAGUUAAUUUAUUGGACAUAAGACAACUUGAUCUCCAUUUUAUGACCUACAUGUAGUUGCAAGUAUGAUUUAUCUAUGCUUAUCUAUAAAUCAAUUUGAAAACCAUGCAGUCAUGUAGAUUGCCGUGGACUGACAACUAGCAUCCUACAUUUUUACUGAAAGAAUUUUAAGAGGAUAUUAUGCAGAAAAUUUCCAAUCGUUAAGGCGACAAAUUUACCUUAUAUAACUAUAAAUUUACCUUUGCUUAUGUAAAACCUUAAUUUGACAUCUUAAUUUGGUCAUGCAUAUCACCAAGGAAACUAACUAAUAGCAUGCUACAAUUUCACUGGAUGAGCACUAAUAGGAUAUUGGGUAGAAAAUUUGCCUUUUGGUACUUCCAUCAAAAUCUGUUAAAAUAUCCAAAGAUGUAGCAAGGAGGCAGCCGAGAUCUUGAUAGAGAUAGGUUGUUUUUAUUCUUUUAUCUUUUGUAUUUAUUCUUAUGUUUUAUCUUCUUAUUGUAUUUAAAUUGAUGUAAUCUAGUCCUAGAUAGAAGGUAAGUAAUCUAGUCCUAUAAAGUAGGAAUGUAAUCUAGUCCUAAAAUAUAGGAGAAUUCUUAGGAACCUCUUGUAUAAAUUUUAUUAUUGACAUCAAUAAAAUCAUAAGGAAUACCGGUUCCUUUUUUCCAACAUGGUAUCAGAGCUUGCUGAUCCAAGCCUUCUCUUCUAGUAACCAGUGCCUUCAUUGCACAAUCCUUUUUUUUAGUGCCUUCAUUGCUUGUGCCUUAAUAGCACCCGUUUUUUGGGUUCCAGCCAUCUAAACCAUUCAUCCUUCUGUUCUUCCUUCAUAACCCCAUGUCAGAAACAUCAGCAAAUCCGUCUUCUUCACCAACUAUCAUCACUGGAGAAUCAGUUCCAGUGGAUCAACCUCCUCUUGCCGGCGAAUUACCAAGUGUUCACCAAUCCUACCGGCUAGAUGGUAGGAAUUUUCUUCAAUGGUCGUAGCUGAUCAAAACCCUUCUUAAGGGCCGAGGAAAGAGCACUCACCUAACUGGGAAUCCUCCACCAAAAACUGACCCAGGCUUUAGUACAUGGGAUGUGGAAGACUCCCUCAUCAUGUCGUGGCUAUGGAGCACAAUACAACCAGAUAUCAACAAGAACUUUAUGUUCCUUAGUACUGCCUGAGAAGUUUGGGAGACUGUUUAUCAGACUUACUCAAAGGCCAAGGAUGCAUCCGUAAUCUUUGAUGUCAAAACAAAGAUCAAUGGUUUAAAGCAAGGCCAAUUAACAGUCACAGAGUACUAUAAUCUGAUCCUAGGCCUAUGGUUAGAGCUUGAUCAAUACCAAUCUAUAAAGAUGGUGUGCCAAGCAGAUAUCGCUACCCUCAAUCAGAUUCUUGAAAGAGACCGGAUAGAAGAGUUCCUAGUAGGCUUAAAUCCCAAGUUCGAUCAGGUACGGGUUCAAAUUCUUGGUAAGGAUAAAUUACCUAGCCUAAAUGAGGUGUUUUCUAUUGUUAGAAGCGAAGAAAAUAAGAGAGGAGCCAUGCUUGGUGGAUCUAAUAUGGAAGGAUUAGCACUCAUUUCCAGCAACAAAUCAUGGAAGCAGUCAACAAACCGGAAUAAGCCGAACGAGAAGGGCAGUGGUGCACCUUCUGUAACAAGCUGAGGCACACUAAGGAGACCUGCUUCAAGUUGCAUGGGAAGGAAGCAGUCCUCAACAGACUUGGUGGAUUCAAGAAUAUAAGGACUCAAGGUCCUCCACAAAACUACCCUCAAAACUACCUUUCAAACAAAGAACAAGAGGGAGAAGCAGAAAAGGAAGAAAGGCCGGGUGCCGGAAUUGGUACUGGUGCUGGAAUGGACUUCAACCAACUCAAUAAAGAGGAGAUUAAUAAGCUGAAGGAGUUCCUAAAGACCAUUCAAGAUGGAGGAGCAUCAUGCUCUAUGGCUCAACAAGGUAAACAAAUCUGUUUUACUCCUUUUUUAGCCUCCAAAACUGGUAGGAAUAAAACAUGGAUCUUGGAUUCAGGGGCUACUAACCAUAUGACACCCAAUUUCCAGUUUUUUGAUACUUAUGAGCCUUUUACAUCAUCCAAACAAAUCACUAUUGCCAAUGGGACCACAAUUCCCAUUAAAGGAAAAGGAAAAGUUAACUUUGGUCCAAAUUUGUCAAUAAAUCCGGUACUUUAUGUACCAGAUUUAACCCUCAGCCUUAUCUCCAUGAAACAACUCACUCAAGACCUCAAUUGCAAUGCUGUUUUCUCUCCAUAUGUGUGUAAAUUUCAGGACAUGGACACGGGAAGGACGAUUGGUGUGGCUAAAAAGCAACAUGGGCUGUAUAUCUUACAAGGGAGGAGCACUAAGCCUAAAGAUCAGCUGCAGGCAGCCUCACUCAACCCAGAAAACAGCCUCUGACCGAGCUGCCAUUUGGCUUCAUCAUCUUCGCCUAGGUCAUCCUCCUUUUAGUUUAGCGAAGGAAAUGUUUCCUACUUUAUUUAAAACUCUUGAUCCUAGUAUUUUUCAAUGUGAUGUGUGUGUUAUGGCCAAACAUCAUAGAACCUCUUAUUCAAUUAGCAAUAAACUAUCAUCUAGACCUUUUGCUUUGAUUCAUUCAGAUGUUUGGGGUCCUUUAAGAAUUUCAAAUCAGUCGGGGGCCAAGUGGUUCUUCUCAUUCAUAGAUGAUUGCACUAGAAUGUGUUGGGUUUUUUUAUUAAAGGAUAAGGCUAGUAUUGGGACUGUUCUCCCUUAUUUUUGCAAAAUGAUUCACACACAAUUUGGAACUCAAAUUCAAAAAUUUAGGACAGAUAAUGCAAGGGAUUAUUUCAAUGCUCACUUACAUCUCUUCUUCCAAAAUGAAGGAAUUGUCCAUGAAUCUUCAUGCAUCGACACUCCACAACAAAAUGGAGUGGCCGAGAGGAAGAUGAGGCAUCUUCUUAAUGUCACUUGAACCGUUCUUCAUUAUUAUCAUAAUAUUCCUAAAUAUCUAUGGGGGGAGGCAGUCUUGACAGCCACUUAUAUCAUUAAUAGGGUCGCAUCCAAGAUUCUUAACAAUCAAAGUCCUUUCCAAAGUCUAACCAAGUUCUUCCCAGACCUAAAACUGCAUUCUCCAUUGCCUCUCAAAGUUUUUGGAUGUGUAUGUUUUGUUCACAUACCCAAGGUCCACCAAGAUAAGCUAGAUCCUAGAGCAAAAAGAUGUGUCUUCAUAAGGUAUUCUCCAACCCAAAAAGGAUACAAGUGUUAUGAUCCUAUCUCUCGGAAAGUCUAUAUUUCUAAGGAUGUCACCUUCAUUGAGUGUCCCAAUCCUUUUUUGAUUCUCAACCUAAGGGGGAGCAUACUCAACCGGAAACUAUGGAUAAUUUCUUUCCAUAUUUUUUUCCAGAACCCCCUACCUCAACCAGUGAUUCUGUCCACCAUUUCCCUAAGCCUUUCCCAUCAAAUAACACUGAACCAACAAACCAGCAGCUGAUUUCUACCAAUCGAUACAAAGGCUCACCCUAUGUGUACAAGAAACGACAGCCUAAUGAUAAUCUACAGCUUACACCAAUUGCAGCCCCUAAGUCAAGAGUGGAAGAACACAUAUCUGAAGAGCAAAAUACAAGCCAAAUAGAAUCAGAAUUCCUACAUAUGGACCUUCCUAUUGCCAUCUGGAAAGGGGUCCGAACAUGCACCAAACAUCCCGUAGCAAAUUUCCUAUCCUAUCAUCGCCUCUCCCCUAUCUACAAAAGCUUCCUAACAACCCUAGAUGCUAGUGUUAUUCCAAAAUCAGUGGAGGAGGCACUAAAGGGUCCAAAUUGGAAAGAAGCCAUGUUAGAAGAGACGAGGGCCUCGCACAAGAAUCAAACUUGGGAGGAAGUGACUCAACCCAAGGGAAUUAAACCAGUGGGCUGCAGAUGGGUCUUUAAUUUAAAAUACAAAGCUGAUGGUACUCUUGAGAGAGACAAGGCAAGGCUAGUGGCCAAGGGUUACACUCAAUCCUAUGGGAUUGAUUAUCUUGAGACUUUUGCCCCAGUAGCAAAGAUGACAACAGUUCGAGUUCUCAUAUCAUUAGCAACAAAUUUAGGGUGGAAAAACUACAACAACUAGAUGUUAAAAAUGCAUUCUUGCAUGGGGAUUUAGAGGAAGAAGUAUUCAUGGAAUUAUCUCCUAGAUUUUCUCAUAACAAAGAAGGGCAAGUGUGUAGAUUGAAGAAGGCAUUAUAUGGGCUUAAACAGUCUCCACCGGCAUGGUUUGGGCGAUUUUCUAUAGUAAUGCAUAAAAUAUGAUACCAGCGAAGCCGAGGGGACCACACCCUCUUCAUCAAACACACAAAAGAUAAGAUAACUGCUCUAUUAGUUUAUGUUGAUGACAUUGUUGUGACAGGAAAUGAUGAAGCUGAGCAAGAAGGCCUAAAACAAAAUCUUGCUAAGGAAUUUGAGAUUAAAGACCUUGGAAGACUAAAGUAUUUCUUAGGCAUUGAGGUGGCCUAUUCUCAAAAGGGAAUCUACCUAUCUCAGUGUAAGUACACUCUUGACUUACUGACUGAGACUGGACUGCUAGGAGGAAAGGGAGCUCAAGUUCCAGUAGAUCCAAACAUCAAGCUACGAGAAAAUUACUCUGGAGAAGCAAUAGAUAAAGGGCAGUUCCAAAGGUUGGUAGGGAAAUUGAUAUAUCUCUCACAUACUAGGCCGGACAUAGUAUUUGGAGUAAGCCUAGUAAGUCAAUUCAUGCAUAGCCCCAAUGAGGAACACAUGCAAGCAGUAAGGAAAAUUCUUCAUUAUUUAAAAGCUACACCAGGCAAAGGCAUUCUUUUUGCACCAGGAGCUAUUCUAAAAGUUCAAAGGUACACGAAUGCUGAUUAUGAAGGCUCUUUAGUUGAUAGACGUUCCACAACUAGGUACUGCAUGUUCCUAGGAGGAAAUUUGGUAUCUUGGAGGAGUAAGAAACAAGGAGUAGUAGCACGGUCAAGUACUGAGGCUGAAUUCAGAGCUAUGGCUCUUGGUGUGUGUGAACUCUUGUGGCUGAAAAUUAUCCUAGAAGAUUUGAAGAUUCAAAUACAAUAUCCUCUUGAGCUUCUAUCUGACAAUCAAUCAGCAAUCAAUAUUGCUCAUAAUCCGAUACAACACGACCGAACCAAGCACAUUGAGAUUGACAAGCAUUUCAUUAAAGAAAAACUAGAAUCCAGGCUGCUGCAAUGUUUCAACUAAUCAACAGGUGGCAGAUCUUCUCACUAAAGGAUUGCCUAUUAGGAAAUUUGAGGAACUAGUAAGCAAGCUAGGAAUGGAAGACAUCCACACACUAGCUUGAGGGGAAGUGUUAAAAUAUCUGAAGAUAAACAGCAAGGAGGCAGCCGAGAUCUUGAUAGAGAUAGAUUGUUUUUAUUCUUUUAUCUUUUGUAUUUAUUCUUAUGUUUUAUCUUCUUAUUGUAUUUAAAUUGAUGUAAUCUAGUCCUAGAUAGAAGGUAAAUAAUCUAGUCCUAUAAAGUAGGAAUAUAAUCUAAUCCUAAAAAAUAGGCGAAUUCUUAGGAACCACUUGUAUAAAUUUUAUUAUUGACAUCAAUAAAAUCAUAAGGAAUACCGGUUCCUUUUUCCCAACAGAAUCAUAAUAAUGUAAUCUCAGGACAGUAUGCCAAUGCAUUUCAAGCACUCAUAAGAAAAUAAUUUAAAAAAAAAAAACACUAUUCAGAUAUAGCUAUUUGACUAGAUUUAAUCAAUAACAGUGGUUGAGCAACAAAGAGACAGUGUAUGGAAGAGAAAGAAUAGCUAAGAUGGUGAUGGUUAGGCCUUUCAAGUUUGCAUCUUGAUUCUUUGAGCUCUGCUUCUUUGCUUAUGGAAGAAAUUCUUGAACUAAUAAGAUUCUAAAACUUGUCACAUGAUGCAGAAGAAGGUAAGUUUCAUUAAUUAGUGUUAGACAAAACAUCAUUUUUGGAAUUAACUGAUUAAUGAUGUCUAAACUGCCGAGCAUAGAAAAUUUCCAAAUUUAAUCAUUAAAAGGCGGAUAUUAUUGAAUAUGAAAAAGCUGUAUAGCCACUUCUUAAAUAAGGGAUAGGCAAUCAUAUCUCAAGUUAAUAAUUGAAAGAUUAGCACACUAAGAAGAAUGUAUAAGAAACUCCAGUAUACUGGAAAGAGACAACUGCUAAUAAAGCCAGGACAACACUGACAGCAUAAAGGAAAAUAAUGAGAAUUUAAGGCUACUGAAAGGGAGUGGAAAAAGUUAAAAAGUAGCAUGAUGAAUAGGACCUCCAAUCGUAUGAUAUUCUAUUAACUAACUAAUCGAAAGGGAGUAUCAAAUGCAUAGGGCUACCGCUUUGCAAGGGUCAGGGGAGGAUUGUAAUUGUAUGCAGCCUUCCCCUUGCAUUUUUUGCAAAGAGGCUGUUUCCACAACUCACACUUUUGACCUUCUAGUGACAAAUGAGCAACCUUAUUGAGUAACUGAUCUAAUUGUAUGAUAUAUGGCUUGCUUUAUUAUCGCAGUCAGAAAAGCCUAUUCCCUUUAAUGACCAAUUGCUGGAACUCAUUGAAGAAUGGAAAACGAGCAAUCUAGUGUUAACAAAGGUAAUAACU